rnacentral:rRNA from 1 species
CCUACGGGUGGCAGCAGUGGGGAAUAUUGCACAAUGGGCGCAAGCCUGAUGCAGCCAUGCCGCGUGUGUGAAGAAGGCCUUCGGGUUGUAAAGCACUUUCAGCGGGGAGGAAGGCAGUGAGGUUAAUAACCUCAUCGAUUGACGUUACCCGCAGAAGAAGCACCGGCUAACUCCGUGCCAGCAGCCGCGGUAAUACGGAGGGUGCAAGCGUUAAUCGGAAUUACUGGGCGUAAAGCGCACGCAGGCGGUCUGUCAAGUCGGAUGUGAAAUCCCCGGGCUCAACCUGGGAACUGCAUUCGAAACUGGCAGGCUAGAGUCUUGUAGAGGGGGGUAGAAUUCCAGGUGUAGCGGUGAAAUGCGUAGAGAUCUGGAGGAAUACCGGUGGCGAAGGCGGCCCCCUGGACAAAGACUGACGCUCAGGUGCGAAAGCGUGGGGAGCAAACAGGAUUAGAUACCCGAGUAGUC